GAGCUGGAGCUGCUGGAGCCAGUCCCGAGGAGGCCACGGAGAUGCUCCAAGGGCUGGAGCCCCUCAGCUCUGGAGCCAGGCUGGGAGAGCUGGGGGUGCUCACCUGGACAGGAGAAGCUUUGGGGUGAGUGAACUGUGGCCUUCCAGAGCCUGAAGGAACUGACAAGAAAGAUGGAGAGAGACUGGGGACAAGGAAUGGAGGGACAGGACAGGGGAAAAUUACCUCAAGCUGAAGGAGGGUAAAUUUAGAUAUUAGGAAGAAGUUGUUCCCUGUGAGGUUGCUGAGGCCCUGGAAUGGAUUUCCCAGAGCAGCUGUGGCUGCCCCAUCCCUGGAAGUGUCCAAGGCCAGGUUGGACAGGGUUUGGAGUAGCCUGGGACCAUGGAAGGUGUCCCUGCCCGUGGCAGUGGGGUGGAACUGGAUGAGCUUUAGAAGGUCCCUUCCAACCCAAACCAUUCCAGCAUUGUGUGUGCCUUGUUCUCCAACUGGGAAUCAUCUCCAAGCUGCGUUAACCAUCGAGCUCUCCCUGGUUUGUCACUGCAGACCUGUAGCUCUUUCAGAUGAGUUGAACAAUAGAAGGAUAUUAGUGCCAAAAAUGCAUUAACUCGGGUAACUUCCUUCAUCUCUGCUAAUUUGUGCCUUCGCUUUCCAGAUAAUGUUCAUAAAUUGCUAAAGCAGUACUUUAAUAUUAACAUAAGCUGCAGUCUCUGUGACAACUGUUUCAGAAUGGUCUGUUUGCAGCUCUGAAAUGGAUUUUUUUUUCUUUUUUGCCCUUGUCUGUCUGAACUGAAAAACUGAAGAAAACAUGCUGUACUGGGUUAACCAAAAACAUGAAGAAAAAUAUUUUUUUCAGGUCAAAUAAAACAUUUCAUUAGAUACAAUAUGUUAUUUUAUUCAGAUUUUAAAAACCUUUUUUUAAAGUAAAUUAACUUCAGAGGUGCCUUGCGGGGGAAACGUCUAAAUGUUUCACGUAGAGGAGAAAAUGUCUAAAUAAACCGUUCACUUUUGACACCCACUCCUCCCCUUUCUGGCCAAAUGGGUUUGAUGGGAGCUCAUGAACAUCUUUGCAUGACCCACAUCUGUGUUGGAAUUAUUGUGCCAAAGAUACAGGGGGAAGAGUUAAUGAGUCAUUUUUUAAUGGGUAUCUCAGUAGGUGAGAGAAGGACCGAAAUUAUCCAUUUGAAGGAAUAAUAGGACCCUGGUUGGGUGACUAAACCCUGCUCUUAAUCAUUCUGGGGGUGGCAAAGAGGGGAAAUUGGGGGUUGGAUCAUCCUCAUUAGAUAAGUUGGGGGUGAACAGAAUUUUGCAGCUGACCUAGAGCUUUGGAGGGGGAUGAAGGAUGGAGGGAUGGGAUGAAGGGAAAAAGUUCUUCCCCAGGAAGGUGUCAGGCACUGAUCAGGGAAUAGGCACGGCCCUGAGGCUGCCAGAGCUCCAGGAGCCUUUGCACAAUGCUCUCAAGGACAGGGUGGGAUUGUUGGGGUGUCUGGGGUUGGACUCGAUGAUUCUGGCAGUCCCUUCCAAGAGAGGGAACCAAACCCAGCUGACAAUCCCUGGUGUUGAUCCUUCCUCACCCCGAGGGGCCCCGUGAGGCUGUGGCUGGUGGUGUGCUGGGUUCCAAAACCUGCUCUUUCACCAGCAGUCCCUUCAGAGUGCUGAGUGUUUCCUGGUGAAUCCUUACCAAAGUCAUCGGGACCUUCUCGGUGCGAAGGAAAACUUUCCCUCCCAACAUCCCAACUCCUUUGUUGUAAAGCACUUGGAGAAAAUCCUGUUGGGAAAAUCCUGUGGUGUGAAAAAUAUGAAGUGAGCAAAGGCAUGGGUGGGAAAUCAUUCAGGUGUCACCAUAGAGUCAGGAACGGGAAGGAAGGCAACACAACUCCAUGCAUUUCCAGCAGGUUAAUCCGAGUUUAUUAGAAACCCAUUCUUUUAUACAUGGUUCCAAUACAGGUGGACCUGAUUGGUCAUUUAAUCAACACCCCCCACACCACUGGCUAAUUAAGAAGACACCUUUUGGUAAACAUCUUAUGAGAAAACAACUGUUCAAAACACCAGCUGCAAGAUGGUUUUAAUUCUUUCUCUCAGCCUUCUCAACACUCCCCAGGACAAUUCCUGGGAAAGUUUAUCUGGCUUCUCUCUCUGACUAAACUGUCGCAUCCACAUUUGGGUUGGACCUUUGUAGUGGUCCAGGUCUUCUGCUGAACAAGUGCUGUUUUUCUGGGCACAUCCAUUUGGAUGCAUCUCCUCCAAGUUCGCACGCGGAGCGCUGGGAAGGCUGUGAUCUGUUUUAGUGCAGUAAUUGAGCAAUCGCAUUGUUCUGGACAUAGCAACUAAUGAUUUUUUUCUGUAUGAUAAUGCAUCUUCAUUACUCUGGGGAAAUCAUUUGCUCCUGUGAAGACAGGCCCCUCAUUCCUGGGUUAAGGGGGAAGAGACUAAUGGCUUAAUUAAAAGGUUGGAGAGAAAAAUUCAUCUUAACCCUUUUUUUGUGUGUUUGAAGCAUGCUGUGGCUAGAGAGAUGCACAUGCAGGCAUGGCACAGCCUUCAUGUCAGAGAGUGUUUGGGGGCAGUGGACACAAAUUCCAGGUGUUCCAUCCAUCACCUGUAUCUCCCACAAGCCAUUGGCCCCCUGGAAUGGGCCAGCGAGGGCCUGAGCUGUGUGUGUUUGUGGCCAGCGCUGAGAUUUAUUCCGUGUGAAAGGGGAGCGUUAUUUAAAUCUGCACAUUUUGCAGGAUGUGAAAGCAGCUCCCCAUAAUCUACAGCCCUGCUGUCCGCUGGGAACGCUCCAUUAGCAUCUUUCAUUCCUGGAGUUGGAUGCUUUGCAGCUCCUUUUAGCGGUGAUAAUCCAGCAAAGGGCCUGUGUUGUUCUCACUGCAAUAUUUAUGGAGCCAGCCUUCCUUUGAAUUUCCACACUGGCUUUGGCCAAAGGCAGAGAGAGAACACAAGCAGUGGCUUCAGUAACACAGUAGUCCAGGCUCUUCCCUUGCUGGGCUGCAGGGCUUUCCAGAGGCCUGUUUGGAGCUGAUUUGGUAUCCUUUGGGGAAGGAAUAGGAAGGGCUGUGUGUGUAUGACAGCAUUUGUGCUCUCCCAGCCUCCAUCCCAAGGGAAAUCGUGGUGCAAAGCCCUUUCCUGCAGACAGGUGAACAACCAUAAGCAGAGGCAACAGGAGCAGUGGGUGACCUGCUGGGAUUUUCGGGGUGCAGGGGAUGUGCACCCUUCCCUCCAAGCCUUUGAUCAGAGCAGUGGCAGUGCAAGGCAUCUCUUUGUGUACCCCAGAAUCAUCAAGGCUGGAAGAGAUCUCACCAUCACCUAAUCCCCAGCACCACCACAGUCACCCCAAGUGCCACAUGCAGAACACUUCCAGAGAUGGUGACUUCCCCUCCCUGGCCACCUUCCAACACCUAAGGAGAAAAGCCAUCCUGCAGAGGAGCAGUGCUUGAUUUGGGAGAGCCCUUUUCAGGUGGCUCACACCUCUGAGUGAUUUUGUGUUGGGAUGUGGAUGCCAAUACUCUCCUCAUCCAUGAGGCUGGGUGGAACCCAUGGAGAUGGAUUUCCCACGUUUGUUUCCACGGCUGCUGCAUGUGGUGCCUUUGCCUUCCCCUGCUCUGCCUGCAGUGUCCUCCCAAAGUGGAGCCAGGGAGAGGGCAGGGGGACCCCUGGGCACACCCCAGCGGUGCUUUGGCUCAUCUGGGUGCCCGACUUGGCACGGCAGGAGCAGAGCCCCCAGCACACACGUGCCUCUCCCUGCAGCUCCAAUUCCCCAGCUCCUCUCUCUUCAUUUGACACAAUUAAAUAUUAAAGCCAGUAAACACUUUAGUUCGUCUGCACAGCACUGUCUGCUCAAUUAUCCUCCUGCAGGGCUGUCAGGCUCUGCCAGUUGCUUCCCUGGGUGCUGGCAGCCUUUAGCCCCUACGCCAGCAUUGCUCCGAGGAAAACCCUGCUCUCCAAACUCCAAACCUCCCUUCCCACCUCUCUCUGCAGCUCCUCAUGCCUGGGGUUACCUCAGCUCUCCCAAGGCAGUAUUGGCCUGCCUGAGUCUUUGCAAAGGGCCAGAAGGAGCUGUUUGUUCUUCUAAAGCUGUUUUGCAGGUAUUUUCUGGGGAAUAAAGGGGAGCUUAGGCAAUGGCUGCUUAGAAACCCGUGCACAGAGGUCAGAGCUGUUGCUGUCUGUGACGUGCAGAACGGGUUCUUCAUCCCCUGGAGCUGCAGGACGGUGCUCCUGCAGUUUGUGUGGAUCUGCAGCACCCCAGAAAUGCUUCCCCAAAGGUGGGAUUUUGCUGCUUCCAAAAUCUUCUCCCCAUCAGAAUUGUGGUGUGGAGUCACCCCUGCCCCAGUCCCGAGGAUGCCCUCCUGGCAACUUAAACCCCUUUUUGUGUUUUUAUGCGGCUGAUGAGAUUUUGCUGACACGUGAAGGGAAAUUGCUGCAGUCCUCCCAGCCUCAGUCAAGCAGAGCUGGUUUGGGGUGGUUUUUUUGUUGUUGUUGUGCUCUUGCCUUUCAGGACCUUGACAUUCAGCAGAGUCCAUUUCCAAGAGGGAUAGGACAGCAGGAUUUUACUGUGGUUUCAAAAGACAGUUUAAGUGCUUGAACUGCUGCCAUCACUGAGUUACAUGCCUGACUCUGGCCUUGACUGUGCAGGUUGAAUUUCUUACUCUGAUUUUCAAGGCAGUCGGCAUUAGCAGCUCGUCUUCUGCCAGACAGAUUGCUGGGAGCAGCUAAUGGGGUUUCUCUUUUCAUUCCCUCAGCAGUGAUGUGCAUUCCCAGACCUUGGCACCUGAGCUGGUCACUGGCAAGAUUAGCAGAUAUCAGUGAGGAGCCUCUGCCUUGCUCCGGGGCUGAGAUAAUCAGUGUAUGCAGAGUUUUGCCCCAGCACAGAAUUCAGAUUGGAAUUUUCCCUGGUCUCCAUUAAAAGUUAUUACCCACUGGGGUUACUAUUGACCAGGCUUCCCUGCCAGUCUGGAUUUCCUUCCUGCAUCAAUAAUCUCGGUAUUGAUUUCAAGGUUGGUAUCUUGGAAGUGCAGCUCUGCUGGCUCCGGGCAGCUCGGGCUCUGCUGCUGUGGGAAUUCCCCAUUGCAGCUCUCCAGGAUUUAUCUGUGGGCUGCCACUUCCACCAGCAGCAGGAUUUGGUGUCUGUGUCUCAAACCCCUCAGAGAUGGGACUUCAGCAGAAGGGAACAGCCUGGAUUUGCUGUGUCAGAAGUACAGCCCUGCUGUCCUGUGGUGUGAUCCCAGCUCUGCACAGCCUCAGCUCCCAGGGCUGUGGAUCCCCCUCCUGUCCCUCAGGAAGGCUCCCAGCCCUCCCCUGUCAGAGGCUGCUGGCUGCAAACUGCAGGCACAGGGAAGGGAAACUGCUCCUUUGGGAUCCAUAAAUCUUUCAUGGUAUCUUACAGCUCCCCUGGGGGGAGGCUUUUGGGAACCUGAGACCUCAGUGCCACCUUCUCCUGAGCCUUUCUGUAACAUCCCUCUGCCUCGAGCCACCCUUGGCUAUUUCUUUUCCCCCAGUGUCGUGCAAGGCAGAGACCGUUCCUCUCCAUGGAAUUGUUCUCAGCUGCCUCUGGUUCUCAGCUGUUGAACUGACCAGCAAAGCCCUUUGCACACUUUGUCCCCCAGCCCAAGGAGACCCCCUAGAACUCCAGUUCAUAAAGCACAAAUCUCUCCAGGCUUCAGGAACUCAUCCCUGUGGUGGCUUUUGUCCUGUGUGCGGAGUUUGAUGAGAAGCUUUGCUGUUCUGCACCACAGCAGAGCCUGCAGGCUGAGCUGGCUCAGGAGCAGCUGAGGCACCAGGCAGGAUCCCUUAUGAAAUCUGCUGGGAGUAAUGAACCACAGAUGACUCUGUUUUCUGAACGAUGCGGAGCUGCUGUUUCUAGAAAGCUGCCAACCACAAAAGUGUGAGAUCCUGGGAGGUCUGGUGCAGUUCAUGCUUGCAGAGCACUUGGGUAAAGCAUUCUUGAAAAGUGCAAAAUAUUUAUUAGUAUUUGCAUAGCAGCCCCUGACCUGCUGUGAAGAAGCAACCCUUCAGCUCUUCUGAGUAAAUACACUUUCAUUAAAUAAAACUCUGCCUGUACUGCACAGCACCGCUCCGUCUCACCUUCAUCUGCUUUUCCAUGUGUAAAAAGUCUUAGGAGUAUUUGACUUUAAUGAAUUUUGAGCAUGCAAAGUGCCUGCCUGGCCCAAGAGUGCAGCUUUAGACCCUGGUGACAGGAAUGAACAGCAUCCAGGGGUUGCUGAGGAGUCAUUUCAGGAGCCACCGAGCACCCCAUUUGGAUGUUGCCUCAUGGCUGGAACCCCACAGAAGUGCAGAAGGCUUAGGGGGUACAGGGCUGGUUCCCAGCUUGGUUUGCUGGGAAGGUGUGUGGAUUUGGGCUGGGCCUGCCUGGGGAUCACAGCCACCCUUCAAACCUCCUUUGUGCUGCUGCUGCAGAGCUGCUGGCAUUGCAGAUGGGAUGCCAAGGCUUUAGAUGCUCUCGGUGGCCCAUAAAAUCUUCUUGAGCUUUACAUGACGUUAAAGCUUGAAGAGGCACUAUUUAAAGCAGAGUGUUUUCACAAGUGCUUGAGGUUGGCUUAAUGCUGCUCUUGUUGCAGCUAAGCCCAGUUCAAACAAACUUUGCUCAGCACUGAGCACACUUUGGAAAUAUUCCCCUCUCCCCCACGCCCAGAGGAAGGCAGGCAGAUAUUUGUAUUAGAAGAGUCUCUGUACAACUCAGAGGCUCCAGCCAUUUCCAGGCUGACUGAAAAUGGGGAGGACAGAAGGCACUGGCCAUGAUCCACCGGCUUUCCAGCCUUGGCAGAAAUGGUAGAUAGGCUGCCAGGUAAUGCUGGGUGUUAAGGGGGUAUUUCUGCUUUAUAAUUCAUUGAGCAGCUUACAGGUUCAGCUGGGAAGCCGCUUUCUUUUCAGCAUCUUUGUUUAAAAAAAAAAAAAAAAAAAAAAAGUUGCACAGCUCAACAGAUUUUUUUGAUAAAUUCCUGAAGUGUAUCCUCAUCCUUCCCUCAUGUCAGCUGACAAAUGACUGUUUUGUCUGGUAUUCCUUAUUGACUUAUUUGUUUUUAAUACAAUGCAGAGAGCAAAGAACCCAGGCAGCACAAGCCUCUUGCUUGUAGCUUUGGGGGCUCAUUUUUCAUUUGGGAACUGAGGUGGGUUUUUUUUGUGGUUCCUGAUUUUCAUUCAAGGCUUUGUUGCAGAUUAUAAAAUACAAUGUUCAGAAGCAAAGUGUGCUUUUUUCUCUCACCAGUCAUCUCUUGGUCCCCAGUGCCACACUUUGGGACACUGACUGUGCACCUGUUUGCCUUUACCUCUGUUGGGUGUUUCAUGUGAGAGCCAGACUGGGAGUGUGCUCAGAGCUGUUGUACUUGGAGACUCCUGUGAAGCUUCCUCAAACCCCAGGAAUAUGUGAGGGAUAGCGAAUAAACACCAGAUGCUGCAGCACCACUGAACAAAGCUGAAAAAGCAUAAUCCACCCAUAUGUGCCAGAUUCAUCCAUCUAUGCUUUGUUCCCUGUGCAGCCUGCUGGUCUUAGAGAAUCCUGAAAUCCCAGACUGGUUUGGAUUGGAAAGGACCUCAAAGCUCAUCUCAUUCCUGCCAUGGGCAGGGGCACCUUCCAGUAGCCCAGGCUGUUCCAAGUGUCCAGGGCUCUGCAGCAAGUUCUUGGUGCUGGGAAGGAUUUGUGUCCCUGCUGGCUUUCUCCUUAAUCUGCCAGAGAUGGGAUUUGCCAAAAUACUUGAGCUGAAGUUCAGCUGGCUUGCAGUGGGAUUAGAGCUCCUGAAGGGGCGAGAUGUUUCAAACGUGGGUGUUGCUGUCACCCUGUCCUGGAGCUGCCAGGCUGGGGGGUGCUGGAGUAUUUUGGAUCUGGGUCCAUUUUCUUUUUAGUCUUUGGUAGCUGAGUGUGUCUUAUUUCUUUAAGACAAGAUGACUUUGUUUUCUUGCCUGGAGCACAAGCCACUGUCCUCAUCUGCCACAUCUCCCACCAGUUUACGACAGGUGAAGAAGAAUUAAAUACCAGGAGGAUUAUAAGAAGACAAAAUGUAAUUACCUAGGGAGAAAUCCACUAGGAUUCUCCUGAAUAUCCUGUCUUAUAAGGACUUUUGGGGCUUCUUAGCUGUCUGGAAGCUUUGGGAUCUGCUAAGACUGAGCUUUGAGAAAAGUAGUCUUAAGACUGCAGCACCUUGGGGGAAGGGUUGCUGGGCUGGAGGUGAUGUUGGGUUCGUUCUGCAUUCAGGGAAGAGGUUCAGACCCCCACAUUUGGGGCAGUGGGGGUUCAGACCCGCACAUUUUGGGGCAGUGUGAGUGUCUGUACUGCAGCCUUGGGUGGGUCCCUACACCACUGAAACGCUGCCAAGCUGCAGGGUGUGUGUGGCCUGCCCGACUCUAACCCAGUCUGGGGAUGUGAGUCAAAUCCAGUGGAGAAUAAAACACCUCCUGGCCUAAGGAAGAGUCAGGCUGUGCCUUUGUGUGUGACUGGUGGCCACAAUGUAGGGGUCCAAAAUAGAGGCGUAAAGCAGGAUCAGCCAUUCUUGACAGCAGAGCCCUCAAAGUGCCUUUUCCCCUGGGUAAUCGACCGUGGAAGGGGUGAGAGAAGAGCUGAACACUGUGCUGGACCAACCUUCUCCAAGGUCAUCCUCCUCAGGUGCCUUCUUCACCUCUUCCAGCCCCGCCCCGUGUGCUCUGCCCGGCUGUGCAGGGUGUUGGGUUUCCUCUCCCUUCCCCUGUCCCAGCACCAUAUGUCAUGAAAAUGCUCAGACAUGUGGAAAGGGCCUUGACAGAGAUGCAAGGAGACAGGGGAGACACGGCCGAGCAGAGACUUUGUCAGAUGGAAUGAUUCUGACAUUAGCGACGGUAACCGGGGGAGAAAGAUCCAGCCACGGGUGGGGGAGCGGGCUGGGGACCUGGAGUGACAGGACACGAGGAGAGACAGGGAAAACCAGAGCAAUUUCCAGCUGCAAAUGGAGUGGAAAGCAGCACUGGGGUCGGAGGACCCGAGCAUUGUCUUCACAGCAGUGCAGUGACCCGGCCUUGCCAUCAGUUCGGGCAUGUUUAGGUCUGAGACCAGCAGCAGGAGGUUUCUUCCCCUUCCUCCACCCUUUGCCAUGCCAGGAGCUUGUUUGGGAAUCUUUUCUAGCUGAGUGUCCUCCCACAAGCCUGUGAGAGAGAUGUUAGCCAGUUGCAGCCUCCGCCUGUGCCAGGUGAAUGUGGGAAAAGAGCCCUGGGAGCACCUGGGGGGUGGAGAAAGGCGGGUCUGGUGUGUGCCCACUGCGGUGGGGAGAGCAGGAUUCCCUCUGCUUCCCAAGACAGCUCUGUUUUGCUGCUUGUUUAUCGUGUUUUGAAGGUAUUUUUUUCCCUGCAGAGAACACCUCUGAAAUUGCUUUGCAAUCCUGUAAAGAAAACAAA